rnacentral:rRNA from 1 species
AUCUCUGUAGAGUCUGCAUAUCAAUAAGCGGAGGAAAAGAAACUAACUAGGAUUCCCUCAGUAACGGCGAGUGAAGCGGGAAGAGCUCAAAUUUGAAAUCUUCAAGGUUCUACCUUGACGAAUUGUAGUUUAUAGAAGUGUUUUCUGUAGUGGAGUUUGGUAAAAGUUCUUUGGAAUAGGACAUCAUAGAGGGUGAGAAUCCCGUAUUUGACCAUUAUUUCCAACUUUGUGAUACACUUUCAAAGAGUCGGAUUGUUUGGGAAUGCAGUCCCAAAAUGGGUGGUAAAUUUCAUCUAAAGCUAAAUAUUGGCGAGAGACCGAUAGCGAACAAGUACCGUGAGGGAAAGAUGAAAAGAACUUUGAAAAGAGAGUUAAACAGUACGUGAAAUUGUCAAAAGGGAAGCGUUUGACACCAGUGUUGUUUUUCCGAAAAUCAAUUACGAAUGUUUUAUUUUUGAGGAGUUAUGACUUCAUCGGCUUGCUCCUUUCUUUAUGAAACUUUCUUAAUGCACUUUUCGGUUAACAAGUCAACAUCAAUUUCUUUUGUUGUAAAAGGGUAUGAGGAAGGUGGCUUUCUUUUCGGAGAAAGUGUUUAUAGCCUUGUGCCUCUGCAAUCGGAGAGAUUGAGGUCUGCAGCGUAGAUCCUUCGGGGUUAGAUACAUUUGUGCUAAGUUAUAGCUUUUCAUAGACAACUUGUUGACUAUGUUUAGUCUUGUAGCUUACUCGCUUAUGCUAUUUUACCUACGCUUAGGAUGUUGAGUAGCGACAUACGCAC